GCAUUAUGGAGAAACAAAAAUGAAUCAAAGAAGCAGUCGUUCUCAUACCAUCUUUAGGAUGAUUUUGGAAAGUAGAGAGAAGGGUGAACCUUCUAAUUGUGAAGGAUCUGUUAAGGUAUCCCAUUUGAAUUUGGUUGAUCUUGCAGGCAGUGAAAGAGCUGCUCAAACAGGCGCUGCAGGUGUGCGGCUCAAGGAAGGCUGUAAUAUAAAUCGAAGCUUAUUUAUUUUGGGACAAGUGAUCAAGAAACUUAGUGAUGGACAAGUUGGUGGUUUCAUAAAUUAUCGAGAUAGCAAGUUAACACGAAUUCUCCAGAAUUCCUUGGGAGGAAAUGCAAAGACACGUAUUAUCUGCACAAUUACUCCAGUAUCUUUUGAUGAGACCCUUACUGCUCUCCAGUUUGCCAGUACUGCUAAAUACAUGAAGAAUACUCCUUAUGUUAAUGAGGUAUCAAC
rnacentral:lncRNA from 1 species